AGUAGUUGUUGUAGAUGGUGUAGGCGUAGGAGUUGUUGUAGUAGUAGUAGGUGAUGUAGUUGUAGUGGUUUGGGAUGUGGUCGUGGUGGGUGUUUCUGUAGUAGUUGUUGUAGAUGGUGUAGGCGUAGGAGUUGUUGUAGUAGUAGUAGGUGAUGUAGUUGUAGUGGUUUGGGAUGUGGUCGUGGUGGGUGUUUCUGUAGUAGUUGUUGUAGGCGUAUGAGUUGUAGUAGUAGUAGUAGUAGGUGAUGUAGUUGUAGUGGUUGGGGGUGUGGUCGUAGUGGGCGUUUCAGUAGUUGUUGUAGAUGGUGUAGGCGUAGGAGUUGUAGUAGUAGUAGUAGGUGAUGUAGUUGUAGUGGUUGGGGAUGUGGUUGUGGUGGGUGUUUCAGUAGUUGUUGUAGAUGGUGUAGGCGUAUGAGUUGUAACAGUAGUAGUAGGUGAUGUAGUUGUAGUGGUUGGGGGUGUGGUUGUGGUGGGCGUUUCAGUAGUAGUUGUAGAUGGUGUAGGCGUA
ensembl:lncRNA